AACGAACGCUGGCGGCAUGCCUAACACAUGCAAGUCGAACGAGACCUUCGGGUCUAGUGGCGCACGGGUGCGUCACGCGUGGGAACCUGCCCUUAGGUUCGGAAUAACUCCCCGAAAGGGGUGCUAAUACCGGAUAAUGUCUUCGGACCAAAGAUUUAUCGCCUUGGGAUGGGCCCGCGUUGGAUUAGCUAGUUGGUAGGGUAAAAGCCUACCAAGGCGACGAUACAUAGCUGGUCUGAGAGGAUGAUCAGACACACUGGGACUGUGACACGGCCCAGACUCCUACGGAAGGCAGCAGUGGGGAAUAUUGGACAAUGGGCGAAAGCCUGAGCCAGCAAUGCCGCGUGAGUGAUGAAGGCCUUAGGGUUGUAAAGCUCUUUUACCCGGGAUGAUAAUGACAGUACCGGGAGAAUAAGCUCCGGCUAACUCCGUG
rnacentral:rRNA from 1 species